rnacentral:rRNA from 1 species
GACGAACGCUGGCGGCGUGCUUAACACAUGCAAGUCGAACGGAAAGGCCCUGCUUUUGUGGGGUGCUCGGGUGGCGAACGGGUGAGUAACACGUGAGUAACCUGCCCUUGACUUUGGGAUAACUUCAGGAAACUGGGGCUAAUACCGGAUAGGAGCUCCUGCUGCAUGGUGGGGGUUGGAAAGUUUCGGCGGUUGGGGAUGGACUCGCGGCUUAUCAGCUUGUUGGUGGGGUAGUGGCUUACCAAGGCUUUGACGGGUAGCCGGCCUGAGAGGGUGACCGGCCACAUUGGGACUGAGAUACGGCCCAGACUCCUACGGGAGGCAACAGUGGGGAAUAUUGCACAAUGGGCGGAAGCCUGAUGCAGCAACGCCGCGUGCGGGAUGACGGCCUUCGGGUUGUAAACCGCUUUCGCCUGUGACGAAGCGUGAGUGACGGUAAUGGGUAAAGAAGCACCGGCUAACUACGU